CUCUAAGCCAGUUAUUAAUAACAGCCCAGUGAGCUCCUGAUCCACUAACAGCAUAUGGUGUUUUUCACCAGAAAGAGAGAUCAUUCCUUUGACUUUGGACUUUGCUUAUUGAACCCCUGAACUGUAAGUGCUGGAUUUUCGUUUUGUUGUUUUUUUAACUAUAGCAUUUUAAGAUAUUGGUGUAGGAGGAAAUUUAAGGGGGACUCUUGUUCGAUUCUGGUAUAGAAGGAGAAUAUAGUAGGUUAAGAUUCACAAAGCCCCUUUCCAUUUCCUGCAUUUCAACACCUCUGCAAGUUUUAUAGGGUGGACUAUGAGAAAUAUUAAUUAAUUAGAAUCCCAUGCCUUUCAUUUCCUUUCUGGCUAAAUAAAAGCAGGAAGAGAAGCAAGGGAUUAAUGAUACUGUAUAUAAAUUAUUUGACUAAGCCCUGUGGCAGGCCUGGUAAUCUUUGACAGUGAUGUCAAAGAUUAGUUUCACAUUUGAAAGUAACACGGGGGAGUUGGAUGGGAGACAUGGGCCCUUGUGUGUUCCACAUUCCAUGUUUGGGUGAGAGAGGGUGCUGUCUUGUUACUUCCUUGCUUUUUAGCCAAAGGCUUUGUGUCUGCAGUCUUUUUUUUUUUUUUUUUUUUUAUAACCACUGUUUUUGAGAGUCUUGCAAAGCAGGUCACUGUGCUUACUUUCUGGAAAAGGAGGGUCCUGAAGUCCAGAAAGACAGACACCUUGCUUGCUCCUUGUGAGCAGAGCUGAAACCUGACACUGCAGUCCUUCUGCAGGACCACAGACUAGCAUAGCUUUCUACUUUGCUUAUAUAUGUUCAGUCCCUAAACAUGUGCCUCAGGCUUCCUGACAGAAUGUGCAAGGGAGGCAUUAUAAUGACUUGGAAAGGGGCAGAUAUGUACCCGGUGUGGAAUCCUGGUUUGGACCACUUACAAGUUGUGCAAUGGCAAGCAGGAAUUCAACCACCCUGAGCUUCAGUUUCUUCCUUUGUGAAAUGGGAACCAUAACUUGUUUUACUGGGCUUUCCAGUUUAUUCAUGAUGUACAUAAUAGCCAAGUAUAGUGACAACUAUCUUACAGUUAUUUAUAGAAUUCUCCUUCAAAAUUUUCUUAAAUCUUCCUAAUCAUCUCUCAUUUGUUUCAAAUUUAGACCCAGAGCCUCCAAAUAUAGCCUCUAAUGGGAAACAUUAAUCUAGAGUAUAGAGACAAUAUUAAACGUUCACUGUUUUUAAUAUCUUCAUUUUUAGGAUGGUAUAAGCCUGUGAAUGCAGAGAAUGGAUGGAUAGAAGUAGGGUAUUAGCAGCUCAGGACAAUAAGUCUACAGUUACAAUCAAUGUUGAUGGGAAGCUCCAGAAACUGUUCAGAGCUUAAGCUAUUGCUUUUUAUAAACCUACCUGACUGUUAUAAUCAUCAUUCCAAAUUUUUCUUUUGGCUACUAUUCUUCUACAGUUCUAUAUUACCUCCUUGCCACAUUUGAUUCCAUUCUGUGUCUGUCUACAACAGAAAGGAAAGUCGUCUCUGAGGGGCAAGCUUCCCACAGGUUACUCUGUGGAGUAGUAUCAGGAGAUACUAUAAGAUCUGUGUUUUCUUCUAUAAAGUUUCAUUCUGCAAAAGAUGCACUUAAGUCCUACUGGAUGAAACAUACAGAGCUAGGCCAGGAAGUGGCUCAUAAGCCUUUUAAUAUGGAGAAAGAAGCCAUUUUGUGAAUAGCUUUGGUAAGAGCCAGAAUGGACUUGCUCUGAUUCAGUGCUUUUCAGAGCCUCUCCUUGAGUGUCAUCUUCCAAGUAAUGACUUCGUAAGGCAUAGAAGAAAGACAUCUUGAUGUCACAUCUCUCCCCUUUCCCCCACCAUGAAAGGAAAAAAAAAUGAUCCAGCACCCACUUUGUUGGAAGCCCUGUGCUAAAUGCUGGAAAGAUCACUUCUUUUCUAAAGGAGGUCACAGUCUUUAACUGAAACUUGAAAUCGUGCUCUUCUAUUUACUAUCUACUUUCUCAGCUGAGCUUGACUCAACAUGAAAUCCAGCUGGUUUCAGGAAUCACUUCUGCACCCAGAAAACAUUAAGAGAAAAUGCAGCAGUGAAUCUCUGCAGAGGUGUGUGUGGGGCAUGCCCAGUAUGCAGUUAAAGAGGUUUUGCCAAAUGAUCUUGAGAACUUAAACAAGUUCAGAGAUCCUGUACUCUCUGUUCCUUGACCCCAAACCAGGGAGGACACUUCUUUGGAUAGCUGAGUUCUGCAGAUGAAAAACCCCACCAGUUAACAUAUAACCCCCUCAUUCCUUUUUCUGUUUCUUUAUAUUCUUCAUAUCUCUUUAAAAAAAAAUAUAUAUAUAUAUAUGUGUGUGUGUGUGUGUGUGUGUGUGUGUGUGUGUGUAUACAUAUAUAUGUACACACACAGACACACACACACACACACACACACAUAUAUAUAUAUAUAUAUAUAUAUGUUAUAGAUGGACACAAUAUCUUUCUUUUUUUCUUUAUUUUUAUGUGGUGCUGAGGAUCAAACAUAGUGCCUCAUCUGUGCAAGGCAAGCACUCUACCACUGAGCCCCAGCCCCAGCCCUCUUCAUACCCCUUAAAGGACAGCUUUGAUUAGUGCCUCUCUGUUGGGGCUCUGGAUGCAAACACAUCUCCAUCCAAAUCCUUGGUCACCUCUUGCUAAAUGUGUGAUAGCACAUUUGGAUGGAUUGUCUAGUUCUCUGGGCUUGGGUCUUUUGACUAAGAGAGCAGUGGUAUUAAUAUUCCACUUCAUAAAGUUUUAUGAGAUGGAAGUCAAAGUGUGGGUGGGCUUAUCUUUAUUUUUGAAUUAAGUCCUUUCAGAUCAUGUAAGACAGAUGUUAUUAUCUCUUAUUCUCCAGAUGCAGUUAAGUGCCUUGUCCAAGGCUGCAAAGCUAACAGCGCCAGAGCCAGGAUCUAAAACCAUUCUAUAUGGCUCCAAAAUCUACAUUAUCUUGUAAUCCCAUCUGUGACAAAUCACAUGUGUUUUAGUCAUCUUUUUCAUCACUGUGACCAAAAGACCUGAUAGCAACAGCAGAGAGGAGGCAAAGUUUAUUUUGGUUCAUGGUUUCAGAGUUUCAGUCCACAGUCAGCUUAAUCCAUAAUUCUUGGCCUGGAUGGGGCAGAACAUCUUGGUAGAAGGCUGUGACAAAGAAAAGCAGCUCAGGACUUGACAACCAAGAAGCAGAAAGAUGCUUUCUAAAGUCAAAACAUAUACCCCAAAAUGUCAAGACCAACUUCCUCUAGCUUCACACUCACCUGCCUAGAGUUACCGCCCAGUUAAUCUAUAUCAGUGGAUUAAUGCACUGAUUAGGGUAUACAUCCCAUAAAUUUAUAAUUUACUAAUUAACCUUCUUUCAUUAUAGCACACAUGAGAUUUGGGGGUGGGGAUACCAAAUAUCUUAACCAUAACAAUAGGUUUUUGUUUUCAGCCAAAAUUUACUUUGUCAAGUGCUUUACCUUUAGAUGUUGACCUGUUUCACUUGAGAUUUACUUUAUUCUGGCCUUUCUGGUCUUACAUUAGCCUGAAUCAAUGAUGUUGGAAGAUGGAGAAGGCAGUCUUUACAAAUAGCCAAGUCUGAUGAAACACAGAAUCUAAUUUAUCAUGAAUAUCAAAAAAAUUGCUAAUGUUGCUCUCUGUGACCUGGGACAAGCCUACAUCUCUGGGCCUCAUUUGGCAAAUGAGAAGUUUAUGCAAGAUCAAAUGUCAUUCCUGGUACCAACAUUUCUUUAUUAAUUCAAACCUUUUACAACUAUUGUUUCUCUUAGUUAGAGGAAAAUCACCUUGAAAUCAUGUUGUAAUCUGGAAAAAAAGUACAACGAUCAGGGUUGCAAUCAUUUAAAAUCCAUAACUUUUUUGUUUAUUCUUAUACAAGCUUUCUCAUAUAAGGCUUAUGUCAGUGAUAAGUCAAUUUUCAGAUAUGUGGUAGAAUUUCCUUUCUGAUAUAAUUCAGCUUUGGGAAGAUGUAAUGGCACCUUGAUUAGUUCAGAAAAUAAAACUUGAACUAAAUGUCAGAAACUAAUAAGACACUCAGAAUCCAUUUACCAUUAAAUAUGCACAUUUUUCAAUGAACUCCUUACUCACAUGAAUUUGAGGAGCUUAAUGAGAGAACAUCUUCCUUAUGCCAUAGGAGCAGUGGCCAUCCCAGAAGGACACUCUUGUCCUGGAACCCUGCAGGUCCUCUGCCACAUUGUUGUUCCCUUCCAAAAACUUGACUUAGUUCCCUAAUUCCAAGCAAAAACAAGAAAAGCAACAGCAUUGAUUUAAUUUUCAUUUGAUUUCUCAUGUUUCAAGAAGACAAUUUUAUUAAGCAUAAUCUUUAUGGGAAAGGAGACAUUUUCCAAAUGGAAAUAAGAUGAAAGCACUCAACAUUGGGGUUUUAUUUUUUUUAAAUUAUUUUCUGGAUAAUUAUUUUAAAUAUCUAUAUCUGUAUAUAAUGUUUUUCUUACUGUGACUGUCAUUUGAAAGAAAUGAACUUUCAGUUUUCCAUAAAAUCUUCUACCUGAAGUGCAGCUCUUAAGUUGAUACUUGUUGAAAAAUAAUUAUUGCCAGAGACUCUGAAGUAUUAGGAUUCAGGAGAGACAAGGCUGUCCCCAACUUCUAGAAAGACAGCAACUGUCCAUGGCAUUGUGAGUAGCAAUGGAUAGAACACAGUGUAGUGACUGGUCAUUUGUUAUAGAAAAUUGGGAAAUAAAUACUGAGGUGGUCAGAAUGGAUCCUGGAGGAGGUAACAUUGAGUCUGAAAAGAUGAGAAGUUUGACAGAUCUGUGUGUUUAGCUGCUAAAAAAGCCUGAGAAUAAUUCAUUUAAGGGGUACAGUUUAGCAGGCAACAUGCUAAAGUAUAAUUAAUAAUAGUAAUUAUCAUUGUUUAUUUACUUUCUAGGCACAAAUAUUAUUUAAUUCUCCCACUAUCCUAUGAAAUAGGACAUUUUACCAUCUUCAAUUAAUAGAAGUUCUGAGUACAGUUAAUAUAACUUGCUCAAGGUCUCAUGAUAAGUGGCAGACCUGAGACCUAAACCUUAGUCUGAUUCCAGAGUUUUACUCAACCAUCAGGAACUUUGAGCAUUCUUCUUGUGUCUACUUAAUUUUAAGAGGUUAAGGGGAGAAGUUUUUCAGGUAAAAGAUUACCAGUGAUUAGAAACAAGAGCAAAAACAUCAUAUUAGUAAUAAACAAGAAUGAAUUAGGUAAUAAAAAUAGACAAUAAGACACUGUUCUUUUAGCUAAACUUGUUGCUAGACAGUGAUCUUGUAGUUGUGGUCUAGGGAAUGUCCCAUGGACAAAAGGCAGAUUGUUUUCAUAAGAAUAAAUUAACAGCUCACUGCUAAUUGAAAAACCUCUGAGCCCAGAGUGGUCACUGAGGAUCCAUCAAUUGUUCAACAAGUAUUUCAUAUUUAUAGAAAGUAGCCAGGAUCAAAGAAGGAGCAUGGCUAUUAAUGAUUAUAUGGAUAGUUCCUUUCCAGUAUGAUCAAUUACCAUUGCAUUACAGUUUCUUUCCAAAGUAACCUCAUUUGAAAACAUUAAUUAAUCAGUAGAGUUAAAAGAGAUUGACAUCUUCAGGCUAGAGUCCUAGGUAGUGUCUGGACUCCAGCACAGAAUACUGGCAGCUUUGGGUGGGCUACUCAGUGUCUUUCAUCUCCCAGUAGUACAUAAUCAGUGCUUUAGUCAGCUUUUUUUCACUGUGAUCAAAAGAUCUGAACAGAACAACUUAGAAGAGAGAAUGUUUAUUUGGAGCUCAUGAUUUCAGAGGUCUGUCUGAAAAUAUAGAGAACCAACUCCAUUAUUUUGGGCCCAAGAAUAGGCAGAGCAUCAUGGAGGAAGGGUGUGGCAGAGGAAAGCAGCUCAAGUCACCAGGAAGCAGAGAGACUACUCUGCUCAACAAGGUCAAAAUAUAAACUCCUCCUCCAGCCACACCCCAUCCGCUUAGUUACUACCCAGUUAAUCCAUUCAAGUGGCUUAGAGCAAUGAUUAGGUUAAGGCUCCCACAACCAGAUCAUUUCCCCUCUGAACUUGAAUUGUCUCACACAUGAGCUUUUGGGGGCACCUCCCAUCUAAACCAAAAUAAUCAGGGACCAGCACAUAGUAGUCCCUGAAAAAACAGAAGUUAUCAUAAUUAAGUGACCUAUUAAGAAAAAAUGGACAGAUAUCAAUAGUUUCACUUUUCUACAUGUGUCUCUAGGGAACUUCCAUGAAUAUUAUCUUAACUGUUAGAUAUUGAUGGAAACAGGAGUAGGUUUAGAAAAUUCUUGUCAAAAAAAGAAAAUAUUUUUGAAAUGUAACUCAUACUGUUAAGAUUAUAAAGUUGAAUCCAAUGAAAAGUAUUUUUCUUUUGAUUAUAAUACAGACUUUGCAAAGUAUGUUCUGUUCUUUGUCUUGACCAAAAGUUCACAUCUAAUAAAGGGAAGUAGUAAGGGUUGAAGGAAAUUGAGAAAAGGGAACUAGUAAUACAUUUUUAUGAUAGAUGGUUUACAUUAUUGUUUGUUUUGUUUUGUUUUGCCCCCAGAAGAUCAAGCUAUUUAGGAAAUUCACUCGUAAUGUAAUCCCCAAGAAUUGGGAUUGAUUUGGGAAACUUUUUAAUAUGAAAAUAAUAAGAUAAAAAAGCUUACAAAGGCAAGGGCCAGCAAGAUGGUGGCGAGUGAAGAACAGGGAAUACCAUGAAGUCCAGCUCCUAGAAACCAAGAGUUAUUGCUAUUCUCCACUUGUCUAAUAUACUGUGUGAGAUGUCACUACUCAGCUGUCCAAUCAAUAAUGAACAGGUCAAUUUGAAUUAGAUUAUUUGAACCUAAAUCUUGAUAGAGUCAAGAAAAAAGUAAAGAAAAAUUUUAAAAACUAGAUGAGAGAUUACCCAUUUUACUUUCAAUAUGACAUUUUAUAAAAUGAUGAACAGGGCCAAGGUUGGUGGCAUUCCCUGUAAUCUCUGCUAUUCUAGAAACUAAAGCAGGAAGAUUGCAAGUCCAAGGCCAUCUUUGGGAAUUUAGGGAGACCCUGUCUCAAAAUAAAAAAUAAAAAGAACUGGGGUUAUAGUUCAGUGGUGAAAUGUCCCUGGGUUCAACCCUCAUCGUCUAAAUAAAUAAAUAAAUAAAAUAAUAAAGUGACUCCCAUGUGGUCUUAGGAAACAAGAAAAAGAAAGGGAGACACAUUCAAAUGGGAGGGGAAAUUGUGAUCAUACAAAGUUUCAAUAUAAAUUUGCAUAAAAAUAUGCUUGACCCCUAAUAACUUAGGGUGUCAUGACUGAAAUUGAAAGUCAUGUCAUUUAGCUGUAUUUAUUUAUCUAUUUAUUCACCUAUCUAUCGAUCUAUUUAUUUCUAUUUUUUGGUACUGAAGAUUGAACCCAGGUCCUUCAAUAUAAGUGCUCUAAGACUGAGCUACACCCAGAUCUCUUUUUAGUUUAUUUUGAGACAAUGUUUCCCUCGGUUGCCUAGGAUGGCCUGGAAUUUGUUAUCCUCCUGCAUCAGCCUCUUGAGUAGCUGGGAUUAUAAGUGUGGGCCACUCAGAUAUAAUGUUAAAAUUCUACAUUCAAGAUAAAACCAAAGCCUGGAAAGAUUCACACUUAAUAUGUUCCAGCAUAGUUUUUACAGUAUCAUUGUCCCUCCAAGUGAUGAUUAUUAUCAAAUAAAAUCAUGGAGAUACUACUUAGAAAAUACUAAAUGACUGGGCAUGAUGGCACAUGACUGGAAUACCAGCGGCUCAGGAGGCUGAGGCAGGAGGAUCUCGAGUUCAAGGACAGCCUCAAAAAAGCAAGGUGCUAAGCAACCUAGUGAGACCCUGUCUCCCUCUAAAUAAAAUACAGAAUAGGGUUGGAGAUGUGGCUCAGUGGUCAACUGCCUCUGAGUUCAAUCCCUGGUAUCCCCCCAAAAAAGAAAAUAUUAAGUAAUUAAAUAUGAUUACAACUCAUGCUUUAGCCAGUUAUUAAACCCCUAGAUUUUAAAAGCUGUAAGAAUUAAUAUAAAUCAAAGUAUUGUGAUGAUCAUAAUUUUAAUCCUCAGUAAAACCAGUGUGUGUUAAAAAGACUUUGUAAUGAUAUAAACUUGUGUCUUCCAGUGAUUUCAAUCUAGAAACAAGGGGAAAAACGAAACAGGAACUAGCCAGGUUCCUGUUCGUCAUGAACAUUUUGAGCAAGAUAGGAAUGUGUCCUUUAGUGAAAGAGAUUUGUGUUGUUGAGCACACAAAUUACACAUUUUCAUUAAACUGCUCCAUUGAUAAAUAUAAUUUUCCUUGGAUUCACGUUUGUUGUAUUUGGCUUGACAAAAGUACAAUCAGAAUAAAUUACUUUUAAAUAGAUGAACAGGAAAAAAGACUACUUUCUGUAGUUUCUGGUAUUAUAGAGACAACUACUUCCUAAAUGAAAUGGUAUGAAAAAUAGAAACAGGGUCACCCAUACUCCUCCUUCCAAGCUUAACUACUAUGACUACUACUGACAUUUGUAUAUAUUUCUCUCAUCUUUUUAAAAUAUUUCUAUUACCAGGUGUAAAAUACAUACAGAAGAGCACAGAAAACUUCUAUAUACAGUUUAACAAAUAGUUAAAAAACUGUUUGCCAGUGUAAACACCACCCAGGACAAGAAAUGAAACAUUGCUGAUAUCUCCUGUCUGUCCAUUUCUGUUUUAGUUUUUUUUGUUUGUUUGUUUUAUUUUGUUUUUUUGCUGCUGUGACUAAAAGACCUGGCAAGAAAAAUUUUAGCAGAGGGAAAGUUUAUCUGGGGGCUCAUAAUUUCAAUCUCAAUUCCUACACAGAUGGCUCCAUUCCUCAGGAAUUGAGGUGAGGUAGAACAUCAGGCGGAAGAGUGUGGCAGAUAGAAGCAGCUCACAUGAUGAUUACGAAGCAGGGGUGGGGGGUGGAGAGAGAGAGAGAGAGACAGAGAGAGAGAGAGAGAGAGAGAGACAGAGACAGAGACAGAGACAGGGACUGAUUGACUCUACUCACUAGAUACAAAAUAUAUACCUGUUAUGGUUUGGAUGUGAGGUGUCAGAUGUUCACAUGUCAGAAAAUGCAAGAAGGUUCAGAGGAGAAAUGAUUGGUUUGUGAGAGUCUUAACCCAAUCAGUGAAUUAACCCCCUAAUAGGGAUUAACUGAGCUGUAACUGAAGUGGUAGGGUGUGGCUGGAGGAGGUGGGAGUUGGGAGCAUGGCUUUGGGGGUAUAUAUUUAUAUUUGACAGUGGAGGCCUCGCUCUCUCUGCUUCCCGAUUGUCAUGUAAGCUGCUUCCCUCCACCAUGCUCUUCCACCAUGAUGUUUAGUCUUACCUCCAGCCCUAAGGAAUGGAGCCUACCUUUUAUGGAAUAAGACCUCUGAAACUGUGAGCCCUCAAAUAAACGCUUCCUCCUUUAAAUUUGUUCUGGUCAGGUUCUUUAGUCACAGCAGCAAAAGAGCUGACUCAAGCAAUACCCCAAAGCCAAGUUCCCCAGUGCCCCACCUCCUCCAGCCAUGCCCUACCCACCUUCAGUUGCCAGUCAGUUAAUCCUGCCAGAGGAUUAAUUCAUUGAUUGGGUUAAGAUUCUCCUAACCCAAUCAUUUUACCUCUGAGCCUUCUUGCAUUGUCUCACACAUGAGCUUUUGGGGGACACCUCCCACCCAAACCAUAACACUUUUCUUGCCUUCACUUAGGUGCCAUGCCCUGAGCUGGUAUUCAUGAAUGUUGUACAAAAUCUUUUAUUUAUCUAUUUAUCUCUUUCUUUUUUCUUUCUUUCCUUUCUGGUACCAGGGAUUGAAGUCGGGGACACUCAACCACUAAGCCACAUCUCCAGACCUUUUGUGUGUUUUAUUUAGAGACAAGGUCUCAGUGAGUUGCUUAGGGCCUCACUAAAUUGCUGAGACUGGCUUUGAACUCUAGGUCCUCCCGCCUCACCCUCCCGAGCUGCUGGGAUUACAGGUGUGCACAGCCACAAAAUCUUACAAUAUUUAAAAAUCAAACAUGUAAUAUGAUGAGUCACUCUCCUACAAAGAGAAGUUUUUGUUUUGUUUUGCUUUUGGUGUUGUUUUGCCAUGAAGAUAUUGAAGCAUUUGUUUUAAAAUAUUUAUUAGAGGAUUUUUCCUUUAAAAAUUGUGAAUGUUUGCCCUGCCAGGAAAACCCUGGAAUUCAGCUGAAUCCUUCUGUUAAAUGUUCAGGGUUUAGAUAUACAGUUCUCUGAUCAAAUAAAAAGAAUAUUUCACAUUUUCCAAAGCCCACUCUUCAACAUCUCCUUCUUGUCUACUUGUCUAAUUUCAGAGUUUCUGCAGGCAGGUUCCCCACCCCUCCACUACCUCCACUACCUCAAGGUCCAAUUAAACCUUUUAAUGUGCUUUGACACAGGAACCAAGGUUGCUAGGAGACCACCUGUGCUGAAUGUACUUGGCCUAGCAAGAGCAGACUGAGGGAGAAAAAAACAAAAACAAAUAAGGAGCUCCUUACCUACUACUACCUGGGAUUGAUUCAGGUGAGUUCAAUUCAGAGAUGUGGAGGAAAUAAAACAUUUGAUGUCCCAUUCAGUGACCAAAACAUGAGGAAGGAGUUUGAGGAAAAGUCAAGGAAGGAAAGGCUUUUUGCUAUUGUUUUUAAUUCUGGGCUGGCGGUGUGGCUCAGUGGUAGAGCACUUGCCUAGCAUGUGUGAGGCACUGGGUUUGAUCCCAAACAUUGGGGGGGGAAUAUAUACAUACAUACAUACACACACACACACAUACACAUACACACACACACACCACACACACACACCACACACUUAUAUAUAUAGUCAUUACCUACCUUUCCCUAUGCCUUCAAAUCCUCAUUUCCUAGUAAUAACAACUGAACAGGUUAGAGGAAUGGCAACUUCAUGAAUGCCAAUAAAAUUAUCAAGUGAUCAAUGACUGAAGAUCUUUCGUAAGUAAACUGCUAAUGAUGUGAAAAGAGCUAUUUCUCUUCCUUAGAAUGAAAGGAAGUUUAGCAUUUGGCAUAUAGACCAACCCGUGAUGGCCAUGACAUAGAAUGGUGAAUGUGAGUUGGGAAAAAAUAUUUUAGUUUAUGUUUGGUUACAAAUAGGUACGAAGUAUUCCAUAGAAGAUGUAUCUUCAUCACUGAAUUUUAAUAACGUAAAUAUUAGGUUGAGUGGAAAGAAUCUGGAUUAUAAAUGGGUUCACUGUGGAUGCUUUUUUCUUUUUUCCCCUAGGGAGCAGAAAUAUUCUGAAUAUGACUGGAAAAAGCUGGAUAUUAAUUUCUACUACUGCCCCCCAAAGUCUGGAAGAUGAAAUUGUGGGAAGACUUCUAAAAAUUUUGUUUGUUUUAUUUGUUGACCUAAUGUCUAUUAUGUAUGUUGUUAUAACUUCUUAGAAAACUGACUUCACAUGUGCAUUUCAAAUUAAAUUCCAGUGAGUAAAAAUUUGUACUUAAAUAUGUUGAGUGAUUUUAAUUUGAUGACAUCACCAAUUCAUUCUAGAAGCCAA
rnacentral:lncRNA from 1 species